UACGAAGGGGGCUAGCGUUGCUCGGAAUUAUUGGGCGUAAAGAGCUCGUAGGCGGUCUGUUACGUCCGCUGUGAAAACCCAGGGCUUAACCCUGGGCUUGCAGUGGAUACGGGCAGACUAGAGGCAGGUAGGGGAGAAUGGAAUUCCCGGUGUAGCGGUGAAAUGCGCAGAUAUCGGGAGGAACACCGGUGGCGAAGGCGGUUCUCUGGGCCUGACCUGACGCUGAGGUGCGAAAGCGUGGGGAGCAAACAGG
rnacentral:rRNA from 1 species